rnacentral:rRNA from 1 species
UACGUAGGGACCAAGCGUUGUCCGGAAUUAUUGGGCGUAAAGAGCUCGUAGGCGGUUCGUCGCGUCGGCUGUGAAAACCCGGAGCUCAACUCCGGGCCUGCAGUCGAUACGGGCGGACUCGAGUUCGGCAGGGGAGACUGGAAUUCCUGGUGUAGCGGUGAAAUGCGCAGAUAUCAGGAGGAACACCGGUGGCGAAGGCGGGUCUCUGGGCCGAUACUGACGCUGAGGAGCGAAAGCGUGGGGAGCGAACAGG